rnacentral:rRNA from 1 species
CCUACGGGAGGCAGCAGUGGGGAAUCUUGGGCAAUGGGCGAAAGCCUGACCCAGCGACGCCGCGUGAGGGAAGAAGGCCUUCGGGUUGUAAACCUCUUUCAGCAGGGAAGAAGCGAAAGUGACGGUACCUGCAGAAGAAGCGCCGGCUAACUACGUGCCAGCAGCCGCGGUAAU